rnacentral:tRNA from 1 species
GAAAUAUUGUGUAAGAUAAAAGCUGCUAACUUUAUUAUCUUAAUGGUUAAACUCCAUUAAUGUUUCU